rnacentral:rRNA from 1 species
UACGUAGGGGGCAAGCGUUGUUCGGAAUUACUGGGCGUAAAGGGCGCGUAGGCGGCACGGCAAGUCAGGAGUGAAAGCCCUGGGCUCAACCCGGGAACUGCUUUUGAAACUGCCGAGCUAGAGUGCGGAAGGGGCAACUGGAAUUCCCAGUGUAGCGGUGAAAUGCGUAGAUAUUGGGAAGAACACCUGAGGCGAAGGCGGGUUGCUGGGCCGACACUGACGCUGAGGCGCGAAAGCCAGGGGAGCGAA